rnacentral:rRNA from 1 species
AUUGAACGCUGGCGGCAGGCCUAACACAUGCAAGUCGAGCGGCAGCGCGGGGCAACCUGGCGGCGAGCGGCGAACGGGUGAGUAAUACAUGGGAAUCUGCCUGGUAGUGGGGGAUAACUCUGGGAAACUAGAGGUAAUACCGCAUACGUCCUACGGGAGAAAGCGGGGGAUCUUCGGACCUCGCGCUAUCAGAGGAGCCCAUGUCCGAUUAGCUAGUUGGUGAGGUAAAGGCUCACCAAGGCGACGAUCGGUAACUGGUCUGAGAGGAUGGUCAGUCACACUGGAACUGAGACACGGUCCAGACUCCUACGGGAGGCAGCAGUGGGGAAUAUUGGACAAUGGGGGCAACCCUGAUCCAGCCAUGCCGCGUGUGUGAAGAAGGCCUGGUUGUAAGCACUUAAGUAGGGUAGGAAGGGCGUCGCUGAUUAAUAAU